AAAAUGUUUGUUCACAUAUUUUGCAUGAUUUUGUCAGCAAUGAUUUUUCACACCUUGCAGCUUCUUAGUGGCUUAGUAUCUUAAAAGAAAGGGCAUGAAUACAGUAAGAAGUCACUUUUUUACCAAUCAUCUUGCAAAUUGCUCAUAACAAUUGUCUUACUGAUAUCACAGCAGAGUUCAAAAAUGGUUCUGCAAUGUUAAAUAACAUGGCGGUUAGGGGGCAGUUCUCCUUAUAUGGCCAUAGUAAAAUUGAAAAAUUUAACACUCUAGAAACUUUGUGAAACAUUUGUCUAACUGAUAUAGGGGCCAAGUUGUUUAAUGGUUGAGGUCCAUUAAAGGGGCCUUUUCACAGAUUUUGGCAAGUAUUGAAGCUUGUCAUUAAAUGUUUUUUAUGCCCCCUUCGAAGAAGAGGGGGUAUAUUGCUUUGCACAUGUCUGUCGGUUGGUCGGUCGGUCUGUCGGUCCGUCCACCAGGUGGUUUCCGGAUGAUAACUCAAGAACGCUUCGGCCUAGGAUCAUGAAACUUAAUAGGAACAUUGAUCAUGAUUCGAUUUACCAUGUGCUGACAUGGGAAUUUUAGCAAACAGAAUUGGACCGACUGUUUGGGAUUUUCAAUCGGUCUUUCAUGACCCCAAUCGGUAAAGGACCGCCAAAACCGAAAAAAAUAUGAUCCCUGAUAUAUAUACAUAUUGUUAAAUAGAUUUCCGUGUGUUAUGUAGGUGUAGAAUCAGUCGUCACAGAAUUCAUUGAUUUCAUGUUGAUAUGCAUUGCAUUUCUUUUGCAGUUAAUGCGUUCACUGACUAGCGAAUGAUAAUCUCUGACUUUUAUAAUGUGAAAAAAGCAUUGACCUUGACCAGAUUCAAUCGUUGACCUUGAUAUUGUAGAUAUGCGUUUACCUCAAUCAUGAAAAUUAUCAUUGACCUUGAUGAUAUACAUAUACGUUUACCUUACUCAUGAAAAUUAUCAUUGACCUUGAUAAUGUAUAUAUGCGUUUACCUUAAUUAUGAAAAUAAUAAUUGACCUUGAUAAUGUCGAUAUGCAUUUACCUUAAUUAUGAAAAUUAUAAUUGACCUUGAUAAUGUUGAUAUACAUUUACCUUGAUAAUGAAAAUUAUCAUCGACCUUGAUAAUGUUGACGUGUGUUUACCUUAAUCAUGAAAAUUAUCAUUGACCUUGAUAAUGUAGAUAUGCGUUUACCUUAAUCGUGAAAAUUAUCAUUGAACUUGAUCAAAUGAAUAAUCAUUUAAUUUUAUUUAUAAACACUCAAUGACAAUUACAAAUUAUAAUGUACUGUGAUAAAACAGAUUAUCGUUUAAAUUGAGUAUGUGUAAAAUUAUGCAUGUUUAUUUGAACUGCAAAAAUACUGCAAUAUGCCACAACAAGUUUUAGACCUGGCUGCAUUUCCUUAAAGUCAUAAUCAGGAGCUACCCUCUUUGUUGAAAAGACCUCUAAACCUUGCUAGAGGUAAUAGCUGACAGAGUAGCUCCUGGACAGACUGUGCAGGUGCGCAGGCUAUCUAACAGAGUAGCUCCUGAACAGACUGUGCAGGUGCGGAGGCUAUCUGACAGAGUAGCUCCUGGACAGACUGGGCAGGUGCGCAGGCUAUCUGACAGAG